rnacentral:misc_RNA from 1 species
AGCCUCAUCUAGUAAAAGUAUUGCAGGGUCCUUAAGAACUGCCCUUGCAAUUGCAAUUCUUUGUUUUUGUCCUCCAGACAUUUGAACUCCUCGCUCGCCAACCUGGGUGUCAUACCCCUGGGGCAACUGACAUAUGAAAUUAUGAGCAUUAGAAGCUUUGGCAGCUUCAACAACCUCUUCCAUUGUGGCAUCUUCUUUGCCAAAAAGUAUGUUCUCCUUAAUGCUUGUUGCAAAUAAUGCUGGCUCUUGGCUAACCAAACCCAUCUGUGACCUUAGCCACUUGAGCUGCAACUUAUCAAUGGCCACCCCAUCAAGAAGUAUUUCCCCAUCAAGUGGGUCAUAAAAUCUUUGCAACAGUGCUAUUACUGUUGAUUUUCCUGAGCCACUACCCCCCACCAAGGCCACAGUUCUCCCUGCUGGAAUUUUUAGGGUAAAAUCUUUGAAGAUAAUGCUUUCUGGCCUUGAUGGAUAUGCAAAUUCUACAUGCUUGAAUUCUACUUCACCUCCUACGUUUUCCAAAAUUUCACCUUCCAAGUUCUCUAGAUCUAUUCUGGGGAUUCUUCUUAUCACCUCCAUGAUCCGUUCUCCCGCUGUACAUGCUUCUGACAAGUACUUAACAUUGGAUAAACCAGCACCAAGGGCCAGUCCACCCACAGCAAUUGAGGCACCAACAGCAAAAACAGUCCCUCCACGAGCAUUAUGAUACAUGACCAAUCUGCUACCAUAAUAAGACAUAAAAGACCAAAUAGCAAAGACAACACCAUUACUGCCAAUGGCUAAUCCCUUUGCCAGGCCCUGCUUGAGCCCCAAUUUCACUGAAAAGUCAAGAGCUGCAGAAUAUGCAGUUACGGUUUUGGAUUCACCAACAAAGGCAUAGACAGUCCUGAUGGAAGAUAACGCCUGCUCUGCAAUUGUACCUGCUUUGUUGUAUUCUUCCUUGAUCUUUCUUGCCAAACCCAUCAAAGUCCUCCCAUACAUCAGACCAGGAAUAACCAAAAUGACAAUAAAAGGAAACCCCACAAUUGCUAGCCUCCAAAGCAGCAAGAACCCAACAAGAUAGCAACCAAAGAACAUGGAAGCGUUCAUCAAAAGAUUUGGCACCUUCUCACUUAGAACGUCUUGAAUUACGAAGCUAUCAUUAGAGACACUUGUGAUGACCUCUGCCGUACUUGUUACAUGCAAAUCAAAAUAACCCACUUCUUGUCUCAGCACCGCUUUCAAAUACCUUGCUCUCAUUCUUGUAGCUUGCCUCUCCCCUGUCCUUGUCCAACAAUAUCCCUCUACGAAACAAACAACCCAUUGUCCACAAGCCAAGUAACAGAGCGCCAGUGCAUUCUUAUUAAUGUUGUGAGAGAAAUCACUCUGGAAAGAAGAUGCACCGCCAAUAUUAUUCAUCAAUUUGCUUGUAACAAACAACACAAGCGGGGUGGAGAAGCCAUCACCAACAGAUCCAAUGACCCCAAGAACCAUUAAAAACCAAUCUACACCAUCUGCAUGCAUGAAAAUUGAUCUUAUGGACCCAACAUGGCUACUCUUCUUCUUCACCAUUUGAACUAACAAUAACUAACUGGCUAUGAGCUACAAGUACUCUCCGAGAGCGAGAGAAAUAGAGAAAGUCACUGGCAGUUUGCUCCCAAAAGGGCCG